rnacentral:rRNA from 1 species
GAUGAACGCUAGCUACAGGCUUAACACAUGCAAGUCGAGGGACCGGCGCCCGGGUGAGUAACACGUAUCCACCCUGCCCUUUACUCGGGGAUAGCCUUUCGAAAGAAAGAUUAAUACCCGAUAUAAAGGAUGGGGAUGCGUUCCAUUAGGUUGUUGGUGAGGUAACGGCUCACCAAGACUUCGAUGGAUAGGGGUUCUGAGAGGAAGGGCCCCCACAUUGGAACGGAGACACGGUCCAAACUCCUACGGGAGGCAUCAGUGAGGAAUAUUGGUCAAUGGGCGCUAGCCUGACCCAGCCAAGUAGCGUGAAGGAUGAAGGCUUAUGGGUCGUAAACUUCUUUUAUAUAAGAAUAUGUAUUAUAUGAAUAAGGAUCGGCUAACUCCGUGCCAGCCGCGGCGGUAAUUC